rnacentral:lncRNA from 1 species
UAUGUAGUCAUGGUUUUCAACGCAAAUGCGACGUACUCGUGUGGCUUGACUUUUAAAGAUACCUUGCUUGCAAUAUCUGGGAUGGGGACUUGUGUAUUCUAGGUAUUGUUUUUUGUCAAAGGUUUCCUAUACAGCGUUGCCUUUAGCUCCCUAUUUCAAUGUAGUUGAAAU